rfam:Triticum aestivum genome assembly, contig: Triticum_aestivum_CS42_TGACv1_scaffold_061675_1DL
UAUGUACUCCCUCCGUUCCGAAUUACUUGUCUUAGAUUUGUCUAGAUACGGAUGUAUCUAGCACUAAAAUGAGUCUAGAUACAUCCAUAUCUAGACAAUCCAAGACAAGUAAUUUAGAACGGAGGGAGUAACCG